GGCCUACGGGUGGCUGCAGUAGGGAAUAUUGGUAAUCUGGGAAACCGGGAACCAGCAACGCCGCGUGCACGAUGAAGGCCUUCGGGUUGUAAAGCACUUUUUGAGAGGAUGAGGAAGGACGGUACUCUCAGAAUAAGUCUCGGCUAACUACGUGCCAGCAGCCGCGGUAACACGUAGGAGGCAAACGUUAUCCGGAUUUACUGGGCGUAAAGCGCGUGUAGGUGGUUUGGUAAGUAGGGCGUGAAAGCUCCUGGCUCAACUGGGAGAGGACGUCCUAAACUGCCAAGCUUGAGGAUGGUAGAGGGAGGUGGAAUUCCGGGUGUAGCGGUGGAAUGCGCAGAUAUCCGGAGGAACACCAGUGGCGAAGGCGGCCUCCUGGACCACUCCUGACACUCAGACGCGAAAGCUAGGGUAGCAAACGGGAUUAGAUACCCUUGUAGUC
rnacentral:rRNA from 1 species